rnacentral:misc_RNA from 1 species
GAUGAAGAACGUAGCGAAAUGCGAUAAGUAAUGUGAAUUGCAGAAUUCAGUGAAUCAUCGAAUCUUUGAACGCAACUUGCGCCCUCUGGUAUUCCGGAGGGCACGCCUGUUUGAGUGUCAUGUAGACUCAAUCCCUCGGGUUUCUGAGGAGGUUGGAUUUGGGUGCUUGCCUUCUGGCUCGCCUUAAAGGACUUAGCAGGAUAGCACUGUAGUCGACGUAAUAAGUCUCGUCGGUGAAAGUGUGAUGUCUGCUUACAGAUUGCCCUUGGGCACUUUUGACUCUGACCUCAAAUCAGGUAGGACUACCCGCUGAACUUAAGCAUAUCAAUAAGCGGAGGA